GCAGUGGGCGUGCGGCCCGGUUGCUGGAGGACCGACGAACCUCGCCCCCGGGCUCGUUGGGACUAAGGAAGAACGACAGGAACCGAGCACCGAGUACUGGGCGUCCUGCAGGGGUCCGAGGCUGCCCUGAGAUGCACAGAACUUCAGCUCUGUCCAGUCACCAGGCCGCAGGUUCCCCAGCCUAGGCUUGUUCUGAGCAGAACAGUGCAACCUGGAACCACCACUGUAACCAAGUAGAAAGGAAAGUAAACCCUGAUUCUCAUCCACCAUGUUAAGGACUCCAUUUCUUUCACCACGCUCCAGAUGAAUAGAACCAAAAGGAUUCUGCAUCAAGGAAUUCUGUAGUUAUUCCAGCUGAGGAACGGCACCCGUCCAGUUUGUUCCACACAUUUUAAUUUCAUUAGGAAAGCUAAGAUGUGAAAUAGCAAGCAUUAAUGGCAGUAUUGGUUUUCUUUAUGCCUUUCUCUCAAAAUGCACAAGGCACCAGUGGCAAUCAAGCUCAAAGCGAUGUGGAAGAGCCUGUCCUUGGUGUCUGGUGGAGUACGUGCUUGAGGAAAUGUUUAUUAUUCUGAAUCUGGAUGGAUGAGUCACGUUGAACCAGGAAAAAAUCAUAAGCAAACUACAUACUCAAACCCAGAUAAGUUCAGUGAUUAAACUAUGUCUUGAUUCUAAAGUCUUUCUCAUACUAUGGCUGCCCUCUGGUUCUGUGAUUCAGAGGAAAGAGUUUCCAUUCCAACUUCACUUCUGUGUAACUCCCUGUAACAAAAUUCCUCUGUUCCUGGUCGUUGGUUCCUUUAUUUGAUUGAAAAAUAAAUAUACCUAUAUUGGUACCAUACAGA